AAACCAACAGGGAUUGUCUUAGUACCGGCGAGUGAAGCGACAAAAGCUCAAAUUGAAAUCUGCCNCUUUCGGUGUCCGAGUUGUAAUUUGAAGAAGGUAACUUUGGUUUUGGCUCUUGUCUAUGUUCCUUGGAACAGGACGUCACAGAGGGUGAGAAUCCCGUGCGAUGAGAUGCCCAAUUCCAUGUAAAGUGCUUUCGAAGAGUCGAGUUGUUUGGGAAUGCAGCUCUAAGUGGGUGGUAAAUUCCAUCUAAAGCUAAAUAUUGGCGAGAGACCGAUAGCGAACAAGUACAGUGAUGGAAAGAUGAAAAGAACUUUGAAAAGAGAGUGAAAAAGUACGUGAAAUUGUUGAAAGGGAAGGGUUUGAGAUCAGACUUGGUAUUUUGUAUGUUUUACUCUCGGGUGAGGCCUCUGCAGUUUACUGGGCCAGCAUCAGUUUGGAUGGUAGGAUAAUGACAUUGGAAUGUGGCUCUUCGGAGUGGUAUAGCCCUUGUUGAUACUGCCUAUCUAGACUGAGGACUGCGUCUUUGACUAGGAUGCUGGCAUAAUGAUUUUAACCGC
rnacentral:rRNA from 2 species